rnacentral:rRNA from 1 species
GACGUAGGGUGCGAGCGUUGUCCGGAUUUAUUGGGCGUAAAGAGCUCGUAGGCGGCUCGUCGCGUCGACCGUGAAAACCCGCAGCUUAACUGCGGGCUUGCGGUUGAUACGGGCGGGCUAGAGUUCGGUAGGGGAGACUGGAAUUCCUGGUGUAGCGGUGAAAUGCGCAGAUAUCAGGAGGAACACCGGUGGCGAAGGCGGGUCUCUGGGCCGAUACUGACGCUGAGGGGCGAAAGCGUGGGGAGCGAACAGG